rnacentral:rRNA from 1 species
AUUGAACGCUGGCGGCAGGCCUAACACAUGCAAGUCGAGCGAGCGGCGGACGGGUGAGUAAUGUCUGGGAAACUGCCUGAUGGAGGGGGAUAACUACUGGAAACGGUAGCUAAUACCGCAUACUAUCAGAUGUGCCCAGAUGGGAUUAGCUAGUUGGUGGGGUAAUGGCUCACCUAGGCGACGAUCCCUAGCUGGUCUGAGAGGAUGACCAGCCACACUGGAACUGAGACACGGUCCAGACUCCUACGGGAGGCAGCAGUGGGGAAUAUUGCACAAUGGGCGCAAGCCUGAUACAGCCAUGCCGCGUGUGUGAAGAAGGCCUUCGGGUUGUAAAGCACUUUCAGCGGGGAGGCGUUACCCACAGAAGAAGCACCGGCUAACUCCGUGCCAGCAGCCGCGGUAAUUC